UGAAUUUGAAGUUGGAAAUGGCACCCAAAGCGCUACUUUAAAGUAGUAACUAGAGAUGUAGGAUACGCCGCCCUACCAAGUUUA
rnacentral:tRNA from 27 species